UUUCGCAAUAAACAAGUCCUCCCCUCUCCCAAUAAUCGGAUUAGAUCAUCGAAGUCCUCUGCCAUCUUUAUCGCAUCACAGUGGCUUCACCAGGUGACUUUCAAUUCCGUGCUCAUAAUAACCUUGAUCAAGUGAAUUACUUUGUUUCGAUAUGCCAAUAAAAAUUGCCAUCAUCUGUUUGGACGCCGAGAAAAUCAGCAGGAAAAACGUUGAGAAAGUUUUGAAUCAUAUAACUGUUUUGGGGUUUGCAAAUCUCCUCCCAUUCUCAAUUAUCAGUUAAGGUUUACUCAUUUUAUGUGGUCUGUGGGUUGUUUUCUUGUUGAAGUGCUCAUAUAUUUAGUUUUGCUGGAAUUUGUUACAUUUUCAUAUGUUAAUUUCUUUAUUUUUUUUAAAAACCCCAAUUUGUCAUUUCCAAUUUAGCAGGUACUGGAUCACCGUCGGAUUUAUUGGGUUUUCUUUGAAGUCUGCUGGGUUACCAAGGACUAGCAUGCAGGUUAGCUUCAUUUGUUCUUGGUGUAUUGUGUGUGUGUUUCUGUGAGAGAGAGAGAAGCAGCGCAUGGAAUUCAGACUUUCAUGUGGGUUUGAGAAAGUUGAGCCAUACCUAUAAGCUUUUCCGUGUGUCUUGUGCCGUGGGCAGGCGUCAAGGGCAAGGCUAUUCAAGGAAUACAAGGAGGUGCAGCGUGAGAAAGCAGUUGAUCCUGAUAUUCAAUUAGUUUGUGACGAUUCCAACAUCUUUAAGUGGACUGCCCUUAUCAAGGGACCAACAGAGACUCCUUAUGAGGGCGGAGUCUUCCAACUUGCCUUUUCUGUUCCAGAGCAGUAUCCUCUGCAGCCUCCUCAAGUGCGGUUCUUGACAAAAAUAUUUCAUCCAAAUGUGCAUUUUAAGACAGGAGAGAUAUGUCUUGAUAUCUUGAAGAAUGCAUGGAGCCCAGCCUGGACACUUCAGUCUGUUUGCAGGGCUAUAAUUGCUUUGAUGGCUCACCCUGAACCUGAUAGCCCUUUGAACUGUGAUUCAGGCAAUCUUCUACGUUCUGGUGAUAUUAGAGGUUAUCAAUCCAUGGCAAGAAUGUAUACUAGACUUGCAGCGUCACCAAAGAAAGGGUGAAUAUGUGCAGUGAAUUUCUGUGGUCAUUAGAGCAUGUUGCGAUGAGUGUUGAGCCAUCAUGAUAAAUGCCAAAAUAAUUUUCUGAGUUGUUGAAGUCAAACUAUUGUUGUAUGCUUUAGCUUUAAACCUGACUAAUUGAAUUAUUCAACAACCUUGUUGGGUAAUGUCUCCGUUUUGUUGCUUUUUCUUUCUGUUCUUUUUCCUCAAAGUUCCAUAAAGUUGAGGGAGAGUUCACAGAUAUCAGUUUGGUUGGUCACUAGCAUUUAGACUGACUCUUAAGAGAUCAACCUCAUAACUUCUUAACCUAAAUUGUGAUAUUUAUAGGUAGGAAAGAUUUGUGAAUUCUGAUUUCUCUAAUGAAAAAGGGGAGCGUAAGGGGA
rnacentral:misc_RNA from 1 species